GAGAGGAUGGAAGAGCAGCAGUGGGAAAGUUUGAGGCUACCACAGGAAAAAAAAAGUUUGUAGAACACAGCAGACAGAGAUAUGUCAAACCCAUGGCACCUUAUCAGGCUGACGGAAAAGUGAAAAACUCUUCAUGUGAUAUAGAUCAGAAGAGAUUCAAAUGUGAAUGUCGCUACUGCCAAAGCUACAUGGGGAACACUUCUAGGAUCUCAAUGGGGAGGAAAGCCACCUAUCAUUCUUCUUCCUGAGAUAAACUAAUACAAGAACUCAAUAACUUGACACUCAACCCUGGUACCAUCCAACCCCCUCUUCUACAUGAAAGGGUGCAGGAAAGGAAGAAGAUCCAAAAACAGAGGCAGCAGAAAAGCAAAAGGAAUUUUAGAGACUUCUAACAGAAUGGGCAGAAUAAAUUUAAGACUUUCAUCCUCAGGUGAAGGAAGAUCAAAAUAGAUGGGGUCAUAAGUAUCAACAUUGACAACCCCUUGGGUGGAAUCCUUUUGGGAACAUGGCCAGGAGGAGUAACAAUAUCCUUAUGCCUUAUGACAAAGAAUCUUAUCAGCUGUCAAUUCAAUCCAGCUCAGAAACAUAACGAUCUUUACUCCAGUAACUUUAGGGCCAUCUUCAGGCACGCUGGGAGGCAUUCCUCCAUGACAAGGGCAACUAAGUAACAGUGGAACCAUGGAAUUCUCCAUAAUACUGUUCUCAUGGCGCAAGCCAUCAUUUUCCCUCCUUGGGUUUCAGCCUUCCCUCUCUUACCUUAUAGUCAAUAAGGCAUAAAGCAUCUAU
rnacentral:lncRNA from 1 species